rnacentral:rRNA from 1 species
GAUGAACGCUGGCGGCGUGCCUAAUACAUGCAAGUCGAGCGAACGGACGAGAAGCUUGCUUCUCUGAUGUUAGCGGCGGACGGGUGAGUAACACGUGGAUAACCUACCUAUAAGACUGGGAUAACUUCGGGAAACCGGAGCUAAUACCGGAUGAUAUUUUGAACCGCAUGGUUCAAAAGUGAAAGACGGUCUUGCUGUCACUUAUAGAUGGAUCCGCGCUGCAUUAGCUAGUUGGUAAGGUAACGGCUUACCAAGGCAACGAUGCAUAGCCGACCUGAGAGGGUGAUCGGCCACACUGGAACUGAGACACGGUCCAGACUCCUACGGGAGGCAGCAGUAGGGAAUCUUCCGCAAUGGGCGAAAGCCUGACGGAGCAACGCCGCGUGAGUGAUGAAGGUCUUCGGAUCGUAAAACUCUGUUAUUAGGGAAGAACAUAUGUGUAAGUAACUGUGCACAUCUUGACGGUACCUAAUCAGAAAGCCACGGCUAACUACGUGCCAGCAGCCGCGGUAAUACGUAGGUGGCAAGCGUUAUCCGGAAUUAUUGGGCGUAAGCGCGCGUAGGCGGUUUUUUAAGUCUGAUGUGAAAGCCCACGGCUCAACCGUGGAGGGUCAUUGGAAACUGGAAAACUUGAGUGCAGAAGAGGAAAGUGGAAUUCCAUGUGUAGCGGUGAAAUGCGCAGAGAUAUGGAGGAACACCAGUGGCGAAGGCGACUUUCUGGUCUGUAACUGACGCUGAUGUGCGAAAGCGUGGGGAUCAAACAGGAUUAGAUACCCUGGUAGUCCACGCCGUAAACGAUGAGUGCUAAGUGUUAGGGGGUUUCCGCCCCUUAGUGCUGCAGCUAACGCAUUAAGCACUCCGCCUGGGGAGUACGACCGCAAGGUUGAAACUCAAAGGAAUUGACGGGGACCCGCACAAGCGGUGGAGCAUGUGGUUUAAUUCGAAGCAACGCGAAGAACCUUACCAAAUCUUGACAUCCUUUGACAACUCUAGAGAUAGAGCCUUCCCCUUCGGGGGACAAAGUGACAGGUGGUGCAUGGUUGUCGUCAGCUCGUGUCGUGAGAUGUUGGGUUAAGUCCCGCAACGAGCGCAACCCUUAAGCUUAGUUGCCAUCAUUAAGUUGGGCACUCUAAGUUGACUGCCGGUGACAAACCGGAGGAAGGUGGGGAUGACGUCAAAUCAUCAUGCCCCUUAUGAUUUGGGCUACACACGUGCUACAAUGGACAAUACAAAGGGCAGCGAAACCGCGAGGUCAAGCAAAUCCCAUAAAGUUGUUCUCAGUUCGGAUUGUAGUCUGCAACUCGACUACAUGAAGCUGGAAUCGCUAGUAAUCGUAGAUCAGCAUGCUACGGUGAAUACGUUCCCGGGUCU